rnacentral:rRNA from 1 species
AAUGAACGCUGGCGGCAUGCCUAACACAUGCAAGUCGAACGAAGGCUUCGGCCUUAGUGGCGCACGGGUGCGUAACGCGUGGGAAUCUGCCCUUGGGUUCGGAAUAACAGUUAGAAAUGACUGCUAAUACCGGAUGAUGUCGUAAGACCAAAGAUUUAUCGCCCAAGGAUGAGCCCGCGUAGGAUUAGCUAGUUGGUGGGGUAAAGGCCUACCAAGGCGACGAUCCUUAGCUGGUCUGAGAGGAUGAUCAGCCACACUGGGACUGAGACACGGCCCAGACUCCUACGGGAAGCAGCAGUGGGGAAUAUUGGACAAUGGGCGAAAGCCUGAUCCAGCAAUGCCGCGUGAGUGAUGAAGGCCUUUGGGUUGUAAAGCUCUUUUACCCGGGAUGAUAAUGACAGUACCGGGAGAAUAAGCUCCGGCUAACUUCGUG